CCAGACUCCUACGGGAGGCAGCAGUGGGGAAUAUUGGGCAAUGGGCGCAAGCCUGACCCAGCAACGCCGCGUGAAGGAAGAAGGCUUUCGGGUUGUAAACUUCUUUUGUCAGGGACGAAGCAAGUGACGGUACCUGACGAAUAAGCCACGGCUAACUACGUGCCAGCAGCCGCGGCAAUACGUAGGUGGCAAGCGUUAUCCGGAUUUAUUGGGUGUAAAGGGCGUGUAGGCGGGAAUGCAAGUCAGAUGUGAAAGCUAUGGGCUCAACCCAUAGCCUGCAUUUGAAACUGUGUUUCUUGAGUACUGGAGGGGGAGACGGAAUUCCUAGUGUAGCGGUGAAAUGCGUAGAUAUUAGGAGGAACACCAGUGGCGAAGGCGGGCUGCUGGACAGCAACCGACGCUGAGGCGCGAAAGCGUGGGGAGCAAACAGGAUUAGAUACCCCAGUAA
rnacentral:rRNA from 1 species